GCUUGACUGUAGUUUGGAAUAGGGUUCGGGCUUUUCUUGCGCAGCCUAGGUGGGAGGCAUUGAGGAUUUCUUUUCGGGGAAAUCGGAGCCAUCAUUGAGAGACCACUCUGGAAGAGCUAGAAUCCUAAUGGCGUUCCUUGAAUCAGGACGCUUGACAGUUUCAGAUGGGCAGUUUUCUUGGGGCGAGAUUCUUAGUUAUGGGAUGCUUGUAAUUUUUAGAAUUAAAAAAGAAAAAAUUUAAUGAUUGCUAUAAAUUCAAGUAGAAUUUGACUAUAUGCUGGGAUGUUUCUAUGUUUAUUAUUGUGGAGGAUAAAGCUCGCCUUUUUCCGUUACCGACCAUGAUUUUUAAAUAUAAAGAGAUUAUUUUAAAUCUCUGAAACUAAUCAGCAGGGAAACAACAAGAUUUGUUGUGACCUUCAAAGACUUUACGUCAAACUUUUAAGUUAGUUUUAACUUUAAAAGAUGAUAAAGUCUAACCUAUUAAUGAAAUAUUAAUAGGUUGCCUAAAAGGUAACGGAGAAGCGCAAUGGUCCCCUCAACCUGGACGGAAAUCAGGCUUUGAGUGCAAAGGCAUAAGGGGGCUUGACUGCAAGACCUACRAGUCGAGCAGG
rnacentral:rRNA from 1 species